ACUCCUACGGGAGGCAGCAGUGGGGAAUAUUGCACAAUGGGCGAAACUCUGAUGCAGCGACGCCGCGUGAGCGAUGAAGGUCUUCGGAUCGUAAAGCUCUGUCCUAUGGGAAGAAAAGGACGGUACCAUAGGAGGAAGCCCCGGCUAACUACGUGCCAGCAGCCGCGGUAAU
rnacentral:rRNA from 1 species